UGCUUUCCCCAGAAUAUCUCCCUUGAGCCUCUGCUUCCCCUUGACACAACCAGGGCCAGCACUGGUGCAUCAUGGAAUAAUCUGCUUUCCUCAGCCUCUUGGUAUAGCGAAUGCCCGAGUUUAUGAUACACACCAAAGACAGAGGUUUUUAAAAUUCUGAUUCAGAAUAAUAAAGAAAAAGUCUUUAUUAUUCCACAAACCUGCAAGUUAUUAGCCAAACUUAUUUCCUGCCUGCCCAUAUGUAGCGGUGUUAGUAACUUUGAAAGUGGGGGGAGGGCAGAGGCAAAUUUGCAGAGCUCCUCUUACUGCUCACCUGGAGGCAAUCCUUACCCAAAAUUGAGCAGCUGUUAUCAAUUCUAAAGCUAAAAUAAAAAAUGCUAGAACUACCAAAUCACAACCUGGAAAGCCAUGCUUUCCUUUUAACUGCCUUCAGCCAUGGCUUCUCCCACCCUUUUUUUAGCCCUCUUCCCAUGCUGUCUUUCUGGGGCAAAAACAUGCAGACGAGAGGAAGGAGAUUAGAAGAAGGGGAGGGGGAAGCAGCUGGAGAGAUCAACCAUUUUGGAGGAUGCACCACAGUACAUUCCCAUGGAGGCAAAUCAUGGCAUUGGGGUGUUAGUUGUCUUGUGCCCAAGCUGCACUUCGUUCAGCAAAAUCUGUGUGAGGCAAGAGGAUAGAAAGUCAGCCAGCAAAUAAGCCAAAGCUCUCUGACCUACUUUCUUCCUACGCUUUGGGAGCCCUUGGCCUUAAAACAGGAAGCACCAGGUAUAAGUGGCUCAUUAAUGUCUUCCUGGAGGCCUUUACUGAACCCUGCCAAUCUCCUUUCCUUCCUACUCCUUUUCCAAGUCAAUUAAUGAAGGGACCAGUCACCUCCUUUAUGGAACUUGGUAGGUUAUUGGAAUGGAUUUUUUUGUCUCCAUAUGGAAAAAUGCCUGCAUGAUGCCACUUCUCUUGCUGUCUUCCAAUCCCUUUAAAUAGACAACACAACUUUCCCCAUUAGGUUUUAGGGGGGGGUGUUUUUUAAAGGGACCCAUCUGCCACCAUUGCUGAGCACUGGUUGAUGGGAGAUUGAGUCCAGUAACAUCUGGAGGGCCCCACAGGCUCCCCAUCCCUGCAUUAUAACUAAGUUUAACUAUGUGUAGCCAAAAUGAUUGCAACAACUUGCUAAUCUUCACCUCUGUUUCCUUCUCCUUCCCCUGUUGCUUCUAGGGUUGGUAUCAAGGACCACCACAAUCAUCGGGCAUCUACCAAGGCCCCACAUGCCAGGAGAAUGCUCACUGCCAAAAGCCUCUUGGAUCUCCUCCGCAUCAGCAUCAUUGCAACCCACCUGUUUAAUUGCCUACCUUUUGGCCCAGGAAAUGAGGGGUCGCGAGGAGGUGCAGGAAAUUCCACUGCCUGCAGGUGGGGGUGUUUUUGUCAAAACUGCUGACCUUUUUUUUUUUUUUUUGCUUUUGAGCUAUUGUUUUUUAAAAAUUCACCA